rnacentral:rRNA from 1 species
GGCCGCGGGAAUUCGAUUAGAGUUUGAUCAUGGCUCAGGAUGAACGCUGGCGGUAUGCCUAACACAUGCAAGUCGUACGAGAGUUUUUAACUCUAGUGGCGGACGGGUGAGUAACACGUGAGAAUUUGCCUUUAGGAGGGGGACAACAAUUGGAAACGAAUGCUAAUACCCCAUAUGCUUUCGAGUAAAAUGGAUUUUAUCUGCCUAAAGAGAAGCUCGCGGCUGAUUAGCUUGUUGGUAAGGUAAAAGCUUACCAAGGCGACGAUCAGUAUCUGGUUUGAGAGGACGAUCAGACACACUGGAACUGAGACACGGUCCAGACUCCUACGGGAGGCAGCAGUGGGGAAUUUUCCGCAAUGGGCGAAAGCCUGACGGAGCAAUACCGCGUGAGGGAAGACUGCCUAUGGGUUGUAAACCUCUUUUUUCAGGGAGGAAUAAAAUGACGUGUACCUGAAGAAUAAGCAUCGGCUAACUCCGUGCCAGCAGCCGCGGUAAGACGGAGGAUGCAAGUGUUAUCCGGAAUCACUGGGCGUAAGC